rnacentral:lncRNA from 1 species
AGAGCAUUUACGAUUCUGAGGAUUGUUCUCUGCUCGUUGGUUUCCUCUUUAUAGAUCCUGUAAAGGACACGCUGGAGAUAAAAAAAUACAAAAAAAACCAGCAAAAAACAUUAUGAAAGGCUCUGACAGGAAAGAGGUUUCAUGCUUUAAACGUGCACCGUUUUACUGCUUUACCUUGUCGGUAGUUGAAACGGGAAACUCCUCUGUGGAGAAUCUGGUCGGUUCUGUUGUCAUUAUUUCAAAGUUGAUUAGUGUUCCAUCAACAUUAAACAAUUUCACUAUUGAAUACAUCAUUCAAAAAAAGCACUCGCACAUCUGAGAUAACUUGUUGCAGGUGCUAGUAUCACUUUAAUAAAAAGAAGUGAUAUCAGUGUGCAUUGAAUACAUGAAAUGAUAAGGCGUAUCAUACCUUUGUCCGUUGUGCUGCUUCCCUCAACUACAACAUGAUCUGGAGUCUGAUCUGUCUCUGCUUCACUCUGACUGUUAGCACCGUAGCCAAGGGCAGAAGCCUUCGGGACAGCAGGUACUCUUCGUCUGUAUCGCUGCAGGUCACCAACAACUAACUUUAACUUCCUUCAUACUGGACACAAACAUCACCGACAUUUGUAGUCUGUGGAUUGGGUGGGCUAUUUACAGAUGGACUAUGUACAGCUGCAGCGAUCGGCACUGGCAGCAGAGAACUGGAAGGAAAGGCGGCGUUGGCUUUGGGGAUGACCAGUGAGAUAUACCUGCUGGAGCGCGUGCUAGAGCUAACCAAUGAAGGAGUUUUGGGUAAAACGCUCUGGCCCUUUAAGAAACCCGGACCGUUUCUAUGGUUACUGCUUGUACACAAAGAGCUAGCGGCUGAAACGGGAGAGAUGUGC